rnacentral:rRNA from 1 species
UAAGUGAAGAGUUUGAUCCUGGCUCAGAGUGAACGCUGGCGGCAGGCCUAACACAUGCAAGUCGAACGGCAGCACAGUAAGAGCUUGCUCUUACGGGUGGCGAGUGGCGGACGGGUGAGGAAUACAUCGGAAUCUACUCUUUCGUGGGGGAUAACGUAGGGAAACUUACGCUAAUACCGCAUACGACCU